AUACAGAUAACCAAAGUAUAAAAUUUAAUUUACAGUGACACGUGAGCCCACGAACGACCAAAAGUAUCAAAAGCGGUAAACCUACAGUUUUUAAGGAUGCAAGUCCAACUAUAGCCCUCAACAAAGUGAGCUAUCCACCGACUAUCCUGAGCCUGAAAUGGGUGGAAAAGAGGGUGAUGAGAUUAUAUAAUCUAGUGAGUAAACAAAUACCAUCUAAAAUAUCCAAAGCCGAGUAAAUGGAGAUAAAUUAAAAUAGAUCAUCAUACUGUAAUUCAUCACCUUUCAACUCAUUUCAACCAAAUAAAAUCAAUUCAUAUAAAUCGAGUAACCAACAUGGCUUAUGAAUUUCUUAAAACUUUGGCUCAUGCCAAAAUCAUUCUCAUACUCGGUUGUCAGGGAUACCUUGGCCUGGGGCUAUCCUAACAGAGUCCGCCAAGGCUGUUAAUAAGUCAUGUACGCAUAAAUCAUGUUUUUACUUUGAAAACAUAGUCGUUCCUUAGCAUUGGCUGAGUUCACCCUUAUGUGUUGGUUUGGCGUGACGUUAACUCUAAAGAUGUACCUCGGGCGUUACCCUACAUACCUCUCCGACCGAGGUAAGAAUAUAACGGGGUUAUCGUGCUGUCACGACCCAAACUUCAAGCCAUGACCGACGCAAGGGCCCAAUAAACGUAGUCUAUUAAGCCCAAGCAAGCCUAUCGAUUUAUCCUACUCAUCAUUCCAUCAAAUAUCGCUAAGUCAUAUUUCAUACUUUUGAAUCAAAAUAGUGAUAUACAUUGCCAACUCGUACUGGCAUUACUCAAAAAUUUACAUACAAUGUCUACAACAUGUAUUCUAAAAAUUUACAUUAAGUUUGUCUAUACAAAACAAAAUAACACUCGACUUCCAGCGGAGUGACUCGGAUUAAUAUACAGCUACCGAAUGCCGAGACACCUACCAAAAGAUGGACACAGGUCUACAAGUACACCUCGUCCUAGUUACCAGCUGCCUCGUGAUCUGAAAACAUGAAUUUCAAAAUGGUGAGUAUAAACCCAGUGAGUGAACAAGAAAAGGAACAAGCAAACCAUAAGGAAUCUUUAAUGAAAUCAAGAUGCAUUCUUUUUCAAAACAAUGCAAUUUGUUUCUAUUCUUAUUAAAAACCCCUCAUCAAGCCCUUAAGUGAUUAAUCAUUUGAAAAUCAAGGACCCGUACAUAACAAACCAUUUGAAGAAUGAAAACUUCAAUAUUACACAAGCAAGUCAAAUGCGACAACGAAUCUUCGUUGCAGCCAUACCAGCGAGAAUGCCUUUCCGCUGCAGCGACGUUGGGAUUUAGUUAUUAACCGAACGAGGGUUUCUCAACUGGCCGAGGAUUUCUCACUAAACCACCUCAUUUUAAACUUAACUCAUUUAAUCCUUAAUGUUGGAAGUCCAUGCUCCGAUAUGGUAGCAAAGUAGUGAAAGAUAGGUCAGCAAUUGGACAAGAUAGGAGACCAAAACAGAAAGUUUUCACUGCAGCGAGAUUCAAUCUCGUUGUAGCGAAAUUGUAACCCAGAAACAGAAUGUUUCUCGCUGCAGCGAAAUUCAAUCUCGUUGCAGCGAAAUUGCAACCCAGAAAUAGAAAGUUUCUCGCUGCAGCGAGAAUGUAUUUUGCUGUAGCGAGAAGCUACAGUGUCAUUUUUGCUACAGCGAAAAUGCAUCCUCGCUGCAGCUAGUUUUCGGCCAGCCUACCCUUUUAAAACCUGAGAGUUUCUCGCUGCAACGAAAUAGAGGGCAUCAAAUGAAAAUUUCCCUUUCUCCCAAAAAAAACCACCCUGUUUGAAAUGUUCAAAACCAAUAUGAAACACAUAACAAUUUCUCAAGGUUUAACAUGUCAAGUUUCACAUACAUUACAACCAUAAACCAUUAUCCAUCAAUUUCCUAUAACACACAUAUUUACAUAUGUAUAUAUAUAUACGCAUAAACCCAUCAUCAUCAUCACCAGCUCAUGCGCUGUCACGACCCAAUUUCCCGAGCCAUGACCGGUGCAUGAGCUCAAUGAGCAUAGCUCACUAAGCCCAAGCAAGCUUAUCCAUUUACCUUUGCUUAACAAAUUUAUCAUAUCAUGCAUACACACAUAACUUUUUCCGGGUGUGAACAUAGUCAAAACACAAUGGGAUUAUCAAUAAUAAUAUACAUGCACUAUACCAGUCAUGUAUUUAGCAAUUUACAUUGCAUACACAUAUUCACAUUGUUAGAUUGUAUUCACAAUAUAAAAGGACCCAUGACUUCCAGCGGAGACAUUUACAAUAAAAGGGAUUACUAUCGAAUGCCAAACACAUACCCAGGAGAUGCACUACGGGGACUCCUCGAUCUAAGGUCCAACAGUCACUUGAUCUGAAAACAUGAAUUCUUAUAAAACGUGAGUACAAUACUCAGUAAGUGAAUAUUAGAAGGGAACAAGCAAUCUCAACCAGGAAAUUUGACAAUCAUGAUGCACCGGUUGAAAAUAAAGCAUUUUCAUCUAACUACUAUUCCAAACCCUUUUUCCCUUACCUUGAAAUUUAUUACGCAUUCAAGGAUUAAACAUCCUUGAAUUUACACCGAUCCUUCUAACAAAGUAGUAAAACUUACGAUUAUUUACAAAUCGUCACACAAUAAGGGUUUCACAACCCGUAUGAUUCAUAUAUGCAUAUGUAUCACGUACAAUUUCAUUCACCAAUUGUUCUAUCAAGCAAGAUAGCAAAAUUAAUGGUUUAUCACAAACCGUCACAAACAAGGGUUUCACAUACCACACAAUCAAACAUAUAUACACAAAGAUAUGAGCAAUUAUAUACACCGCCAAGUCUUCACUAUUCUUGGUGGUACAAAUAAAUAACUAUCGGAGUACUCGGUAAGGGUAUCACUCAAUAUCCCUCUUUGCACACCUCUGAAUUUCUAGGAAAUUGUGGGCGUUACGUAUCGUCGUCCCCAUAACCUUUAUUAGUAAACCAGCAUUGCACUUCCCACUCCGCACAUGCACGGUCGUAAUUAUCACAUCCUUUGUCAUUCAACUGGCAUUGCACUUCCCACUCCGCACAUGCACGGUUGCAUCAAUUUCACCAUAAUUUAUUAAUAAUACAUAUCAGCAUAAUACAAGGGUACACAGAUUUAGUACACUUAAUUUCACACAAUUUCUCAAUAAUACAUGUAGGCAUCAUACAGAUAUACACAGAUGCAUCGCAGUCAUAUUUAACAUCACAGAAAUAUUUUCACUAAAGGCUUGUUCCCGAGAUUCAUUUUUCAAUGGGAAUUAGAUAUAAUCAUUCACGUAUUUCAUUUCAACUUAAUUAGAAUUCCCAAAUAAAUUUUGAAAUGCAAAUUCACUCACAGGUGUCGAAAAUUCUAAUUUCGGGUGCACUCGGACUAAUAGUCCUAAAGCGUAAUUCCUUUGCCUUUUUCGGACGUCUCACUACCUUGUCAAAUAACAAAGUCGAGGAAUUUACUAUAUUGUCCCUAAAUUGAUAUAAACUAAUUUAAAUUACUAAUGCUUGAUAUGUAAAUGCAAAAAUACGUCCGAUUACCGCUUAAUCGCGGUAUCGAUUAAAUUCGACCGAUCACCCGAUUAAUUGGAGCUUGUGUCCAAAUCACCUCCAAAUUAAUCCGUUUCUCCUUUAAUACCUUAAUUUACCACAUACCAUUUAAAUAAAGCAAAAUUCAGCAUUAGAACCCUCACAGUUCCUUAUAGAAAAAUUCGAUAAUUUGGUGCACUAGCACCGAAAUUUUUUUCUACAUAACCGUUUCUCCUUAAUUCAUCAUUUUCCAAGCCAUUUUCCUUGAAAUAAAAACAAUCCCCCAUUCAUAUUCAGCCCUCAUGGUUUGACCAACAAGGAACCCUAGAGAAAUUGAAUAUUUCUUUUGUGUUUUUGUUCAUAACCAUGCUUAACUAUCCCUAAACACUAACAUAGUCUAAAAUCAAAUUAUUCCAACAACAAUUGCUCUUCCAUACCCAUUUUUCAGAAUUGAAUUCAUCAUGAUAACUCAAUAUUCAACCAUGGAAAUCAAGAAGAAAAGCAUGGGUAAGCUAGGUAUCAAGGAGAAAUGAAGAAAUUUUAACUUACCUAACUUGUUUCCUUGAUUUCUUCACUUUUUCUUUGAAUUUCCACCUAGGUUUUCUUGUUUUUCCCUUUGUUCUUCCUUUUUUCUUGUUGCUGGUUGUCUAGGGCGAAUAUGGUGAGAGAAUUGGGGAUUUAAUGGGCUGAUUUCUAUAGAAAAUAAUAAAAUAAUCAAGCAUGCCACGUGUCACAUGCUUAUUGGUCCAAUUUUUAACUUUUUGACUCUUUCUUCUUAAUUUUCCACCACAAAUAUUCUGGAAUUUAUCCAAUCCUAACACAAUUAAAAUCCCCUUGUCUUCAAAAGUGUUGGGGCAAAAAAUUUACCGAUUUGCCCCUAGGGUGAAAAAAUUACGAUUUUGCCCCUAUACUCCGAAAUGUAGGGGAAUCACAUUAUUUCUACUUUUCAACCUCAAAUAACACUAAUAUUGAUCAACAUUAACCAAAUGGGGCAAAAAUCGGUUUAUAAAAAUUCUCGUUUAGUCCUCUAGUGGUAAAAUUACCAUUUUGCCCUUGUGUUCCAAAAAUACUGAAAAUCACAAUUUUUCACUGCUAUACAUCAUUUUAUACUCCAAUAAUCAUAAUUAUAUUGCAUAUAACUAUUCUUGGUCAAAUGUGAUCAAAUCUUGGUUAGAAAUCUCCAUUUUAUCAUCAAAUGAUAAAAUGACCGUUUUGUCCCUAAUCGGUCAAUUUUCCUAAUGGACUCCAAACAGAACCUUGAACUCCGAAUCACUAUUCUAAGCCAUUCUGUGGGUUUCAAAAUUUUCUAUUUCCUCUUAGAAUUUCUAUUUGAACUAGUUCAAGACUCGAUUUAACUUAGUUGUACCACUCGGUACAAUACCGUCUUUUAAUCGAGCAUGACAUGGUCUCACAUGCGCAUUCCCUACUCGAACAUGGCUGGGUCAUCACUGGGUUAUGCGCACUCCCUACUCGCACAUAACCAGGUCAUCAUCGACUUAUGCGCACUCCCUACUCGCACAUAGCCGAGUCAAUAUAAUUACACAACAUUAUAUUCAAGCAUAUAUGUAUAUCAACAUAAUGCAACCACAUAGAAAUCCAUAAUAACCACAUAUCAUAACAUAAAUCAUUUCUCAAGAGCUUGUUCCCAAGGCAUUCAUUUUUUUUAGAAAAGUUGUAUAAAAUCAAUCAAACACUUUGUUCAAAGCAGUCAUAUUCCCAAAACAAUUUUGAUAGGCAGUCCACUCACCAAUUGAUUGUACAGCCUUUAGAUGACUCCAAUUCCCCUAAUUGUCCAAAUGGGAUGAUGGGGCUUCCUUAAAACCUAGGAUCACAUUAACAUAAACAAUAGAUCAAUUUACACACUAUGAACUCUAAAAGCUAUCUCUUAGCUAGUUUUCAACUGCCACAUUAAAUGGCUAUCUAUGUUCACUAUCUUAAUCACUAAAAAGUAAUGAACAUAGUCAACAAUAAAACAGCUCAUAAAUCCCAAUUACUAGCCAUUUUUUGCAGCUAAAAAUUGAGCUUAGUUAACCACUUACCCUAGGGCUCCUUUGUAGUCAAAUUCUCUCCCAAUAGCUUCCAAAUAAAUGGUGUAAUUCUCUUUUUCUCUCUCUAGAACGUCCAACUAGUGAAAGAAAGUAUGAAAACCAGAUUUUUGAAGGGUUUUAAAGUGAGAGGAUGAAAGAGCAUAAGGGUUUAUGGAAGAGUACACCAAAAGCAUGAAAAUUAGAGCUAGAGAGAGAAAGUUAUGGAAGCUUGAAGAAAACUCCCAUGGAAGAAUUGAAGAAACGUGAGAGAGGAGAAGGGAAGAAGAAGAUAACUGCUGAAAAUUUUAAGAAGCUGCUGGAAUUUCAAGAUAUUUAUGGGCCAAUUUUAUCCAUUCUUUUAAAAUUACCAAUUUGCCCCUCCACCAAUUUAUUGAUUCUCCUCCAAUCUUUUAUGCAAUCUUUUUGCUCUUUAAACACUGGGACAAUAUCCAUAAUGGUCUAGACAUGUUCAGGUUUAUAAAAACUUAAAACUUUAACCCGAGGUGAAAAAUGACCAUUUUGCCCUUAUUAUGAAAAUUAUUAAAAUUUUGGUUUCCUUUCCAUUUUACCCCUAAUUUCACCAUCCAUUUUUACCUUAGGCCUACUUAGGCCAUAAUAUUGUUUAAAACUUACUUUGGGAGCUUAUUAGAGAAAAUGACGAAACUACCCUUGGCUCGUAUUAUUACAUCUAUGCUUAGUUACAAGCCUAUAAAGGUUGGGGUUUCAUAUUCUCCCCCAGUUAAAGAAAUUCGGUCCUCAAAUUUAAAUUCAACUAUAAGAUAAUGUACCUCUAAGUAUCAAAAAGAUGGGGAUACUUUGUUCGCAUCUCCUCCUCGGCUUCCCACGUUACCUCCUCACUAGUGUGAUUUCGCCACAACACUUUCACUGAUGCUACUUCCUUUGAAUGGAGCUUUUUAACUUGCCUAUCAAGGAUAGCUACUGAUUGCUCCUUAUAGGUUAGAUCAUCUUGCAACUGAAUGGUUUCAUACCGUAUUACAUGUGAUGGAUCCGAGUUGUACUUCCUAAGCAUCAACACAUGAAACACGGGGUGAAUAUUCGAAAGGUCUCUCGGUAAUGCCAAACGAUAAGCCACCUCUCUAACCCUUUCUAAAAUCUCGAAGGGUCCUAUAUACCGAGGACUUAACUUCCUUUUCUUGCCAAACCUUAUUACCCCUUUAGUUGGCGAAACUUUCAAAAAUACGUGAUCUCCUACUUGGAACUCCAAGUCUCUCCGUCGGUUAUCAGCAUAUGAUUUCUAUCUACUUUGUGUUGUUAACAUCCUCUGACGGAUCAUGCGUAUUUUCUCAGUGGCAUCCUAUACCAACUCAGGCCCCAAAAGUUUUCUUUCUCCCACCUCUAGCCAUCCAAUGGGUGACCUACACCUCCGUCCAUAUAAUGCCUCAAAUGGUGUCAUUUGGAUGCUAGAUUGGAAACUGUUGUUAUAGGUAAAUUCCACUAAGGGUAGAUAUUGAUCCCACUUGACACCAAGGUCUAUGACACAAGCUUUCAACAUAUCCUCCAAUGUCUGUAUGUUCCAUUCAGACUGUCCAUCAGUCUGUGAGUGGAAAGCUGUGCUAAAAUCCAACUUAGUGCCUAAUGCUCCUACAACUUUCCCCAAAACCUACUAGUAAACUGAGCUCCUCUGUCAGAUACUAUAGAAAUGGGGAUACAAUGUAGUCGUACUAUCUCAUCUACAUAAACUCGAGCGUAUUGGGCAGCCCCAUAAGUAGUCUUAACCGGAUGAAAAUGAGCUGACUUCGUUAACUGGUCUACUACUAUCCAAAUCGAGUCGUAGCCCUCACUAGUUCGAGGUAAACCCAUUACAAAGUCCAUGGCAAUAUGCUCCCACUUCCACUCGGUUACUGGUAAUGGUUGUAGUAACCCUGCAGACUUUUGAUGCUCGGCCUUAACCUGCUGACAAACCAAGCACUUGGAGACAAACUCAGCUACAUCUCUCUUGAGUCCUUCCCACCAAUACACCUCCUUCAAAUCUUGAUACAUCUUUGUAGCCCCUGGAUGUACUACAUAGGUUGCCAUGUGAGCUUCCUCAAAUAUUUCUCUCCUCAACCCGUUACCAUCAGGCACAUAAAAUCUGGUUCCAUACCUCAACACUCCAUCUAUGCCUUUGGUAAACAUUUUUCCUUUCCUUCCCUGAGGAUCCUCUAAGGCCUUAGCCACAAACUCAUCUUUACAUUGUGCUUCUUUGAUUCGGUCCAUUAAGAUAGGCCUCACUCUAAAAUGUGCUAGUAAUGCAUCUGUCUCCGCAACUUCCAAAUGCACACCUAUGUCUCCUAAGCUAUGGAUCUCUCUAACCAAUGAUCUCCUAUUAGUAGAAAUAUGUGCCAAGCUUCCCAUUGAUUUUCAACUCAAGGCAUUCGCCACUACAUUGGCCUUACCGGGAUGGUAAAGAAUAGUACAAUCAUAAUCCUUUAGCAACUCCAUCCAUCUACGUUGCCGUAAGUUAAGAUCCCUCUAUUGAAAUAUAUACUUCAAACUUUUGUGGUCCGUAUAUAUCUCACAAGUCUCACCAUACAAAUAAUGUCUCCAAAUUUUCAAGGCAAACACGAUUGCUGCCAUUUCCAAAUCGUGUGUGGGGUAAUUCUACUCAUGCCUUUUAAGUUGCCUUGAUGCAUACGCAAUCACUCUCCCAUGUUGCAUUAACACACACCCUAAACCAACCCACGAUGCAUCACAAAAUACCGUAUAACCUCCCGUGCCUUGAGGUAGGCUUAAUACUGGAGCUGUAGUGAGACAUGCCUUAAGCUUCUCAAAGCUAUCCUCACAAGCAUCAGACCACUCAAAUUUUGUAUCCUUAUGUGUCAGCUUAGUCAGAAGGGCGACUAUUUUAGAGAAGUCCUUUACAAAGCGACGAUAAUAGCCAACCAAACCCACAAAGCUUCUAAUCUUCGUAACUGAUGUUGGCCUUGGCCAUUUUUCCACUGCUUCAACUUUCUUUGAAUCGACUUGUACCCCAUCCUUAGAUACCACAUGCCCCAAAAAUGUAACACUUUCGAGCCAAAACUCACACUUGGAGAACUUGGCAUGCAAUUGAUGUUCUCUCAAAAUUUGGAGCACUAUCUUAAGAUGCUGCUCAUGCUCCUCUCGGCUCUUCGAAUAUAUCAAGAUGUCAUCAAUAAACACCACCACGAACUUAUCCAAAUAAGGCUUGAACACUCGGUUCAUCAAAUCCAUAAAGGCUGCAGGAGCAUUCGUGAGCCCAAAUGACAUCACCAAGAACUCAUGUGCCCAUAUCUUUUUCGAAAUGUGGUCUUGGGUAUAUCUUCAUGUCGGAUUCUCAACUGAUGGUACCUAGAUCGCAGAUCUAUCUUACAGAAACAUUGUGCUCCUUGUAGUUGAUCAAAUAAAUCAUCUAUUCUUAGGAGAGGAUACUUAUUCUUCACUGUCACUUUAUUAAGCUAUCGAUAGUCAAUGCACAGCCUAAGUGACCCAUCUUUCUUCUUCACAAAUAACACUGGUGCUCCCCAUGGGGAUACACUAGGUCGGAUGAAACCUUUAUCCAACAAAUCCUCCAACUAAUCCUUAAGCUCUUUAAGCUCUGUCGGUACCAUUCUAUAUGGGGGUAUGGAUAUAGGUCUAGUGUCGGGAAUCAAAUCUAUGCAAAACUCAAUCUCCCAUUCAGGAGGCAAACCUGGUAGCUCUUCAGGAAAUACAUCCAUGAACUCCUUCACCACCGACACUUGAGUUACAUCUCCAAUCUUUGUCUGAGUAUCAUUUACAAUAGCCAAGUAACCUAUACAACCCUGUUGUAAUAAUCUUCUGGCAGAUAUGACCGAUAUCAAAUUGGUUGGAGCAUUAGUCCUAUCCCCCUAAAUACAAAAUGAUGGUUCACCAGGGAAAUCAAAUCUAACCAAUUUAUGAUAGUAGUCCACACUAGCAUGGCAGGGUGAUAACCAAUCCAUCCCCAAGAUCACAUCAAAGUCUAAGGUGUCUAGCACCACUAGAUUCACCAAAGUGUCUUUGUCCUUGACUCGCACUACACAGGACUCAUAUUCCCAUUCGGCCACAAAUAUCUCUUUCAAAGGAGUAGACACCACUAAUUGUUCCUCUCUCUUAACACUAUCUCUACCCAAUCGAGAUGCAAAACAUGGAGAGAUAAAAGAAUGGGUAGCACCAGGAUCAAAUAGUACCUGAGCAUUCAUAUUACAAAUGGAGAGAAUACCUGAGACCACGACAUUGGAUGUCUGGGCCUCCUGCUAUGUUAAAGCAAACACCUUUGCCUGGCAUCUACCAACAGAACUCUGACGACCGAACCCAGAUGGCUUACCCUGAGAGAAAAUACCAGCACCUCUUCCUCUGGAUCCACUAGCCUCUUGACUCGAUGGAGCAGCAACAGAAGGAGUAGAUGAAACUGGCUGGGUAGAGCCACGAGUAGAAUCUGGUGAUUGUUGUGCCAUCGGACAAUCCCUCCUAAUAUGCCCAGGUUGACCGCACCCGUAACAAGUUCUUAUAGUAAGGAAGCACCGUCCACUAUGUCGUCUCCCACAAGUAUCACAAGAGCGGGUGACUUGACUACUCUGUCUAGAAUAUUGUUGCCUCCCAGAAUUGAAAGUUCUUUGUCCCGCCCCAACAUUAACACCAGGCAGGUCACUCUUUUGCUGGGAUAAUCGUGAGUCCCUCUGUGGACCCUGACGGCUAGAAGAUGAACCACGACUGUUGAAAUCUCUACGACCCUGAUAACCCUCUAUCCUGACCCUUUUUGCUCUAUCCCUUGUAGCUCUACUCUCACUAGUCCUCAUCUCGAUGAGUUGAGCACGAUCCACUGCUGCAGAAUAGGUAAUGAAAUCUCGGGAUGCCACAGCCCUAAAUAAUGGCUCCACUAACCCAUCCACAAACCUCUGAAUCUUUAUCUCCUUAGUAGAAACAAGAUAGGGCGCAUAACAAGCUAGUUGUGUGAACUUGAUGUCAAACUCAGACACCGUCAUGCUCGAAGUCUGUACCAAAGUCUCAAACUCUCUGGCUCUGGCAUUACGUACAUUGAGUGGUAGGAAUCUAUCCAGAAAAGCUGUACUGAACUCACUCCAGGCCAAAGUACUGCAUCCGUCAGUCUGCCUUUACAUAAAGAGCUAUACCAUUCCUACGUCACAUCUUCUAAUUGGAAGGCGGCUAACUCAACUGACCGAACACUAGAACAUCCCAAAGCCUUACAAAUUUUCUCCAUCUUAUCUAAGAAAACUUGGAGUUUCUCCGAUACAUUAGACCCUGAAAAUGAUGGAGGCUUAAGCUUGAGAAAGUCAGGAAGAGAAAUAUCUAGAGGUCCCCUCUCAACCUCAUGAUGUUGGUGAUCGGCCUGUCCUUAGGAGCUAGGGGAUUCUUGUACUGUAAGUCUUCCCUCUACUACCCUCUGUAUAUCCUCUAUACGGGUCGCCAUCAUCUCUACAACCCGAUUGACUCCCUAUAGGCCUGCCGCUAAAUCCUCGAUGGUAAUACUCCCAGCUGGGUGUCUAUCUACAUCACUUGAGGACUGUCCCUCCUCUAGCUUACUCAUAGGUGUAUCAGCCCUCACCGGCCUAGUGGCCCUGCCACGUCGACCACGACCCCUUCGGGUGGAUGCCCGUGGCCUAUUUGUCAUCUCAUAAGGAGCAUCUUGCUCCCCCAUCAGUCUUGAGCCAGCUCGUGUCUUAGGCGGCAUUCUUACCUAGACAAAAGCAAACACCUGUUAUUAAACACAUUUCAUAAUCAUACUUAAGGCAAAAGGUGGUUUCUAAGACAGGGAAUCUAUGCGGUCACUUGAUUGUAAAAUGUACCGCGGUUCACACUUUACAACUGAAGUUUCAACAUAAAGACCCGACUCUCCGCUGGAACAACAAAAGGAAGUUCUAAGACCUAAACAAACCUAGGGCUUUGAUACCAACAUUGUCACGACCCAAAUUCCGGGCCAUGAUCGGCGCAAGGGCCUAAUAAACGUAGUCUAUUAAGCCCAAGCAAGCCUAUCAAUUUAUCUUACUCAUCAUUCCAUCAAAUAUCGGUAAGUCAUAUUUCAUACUUUUGAAUCAAAAUAGUGAUAUACAUUACUAACUCGUAGUGGCAUUACUCCUUAAAAAUUUACAUACAAUGUCUACAACAUGUACUCUACAAAUUUACAUUAAGUUUGUCUAUACAAAACAAAAUAACACUCGACUUCCAGCGGAGUGACUCGGAUGAAUAUACAGCUACCGAAUGCUGAGACACCUACCAAAAGAUGGACACAGGUCUACAAGGACACCUCGUCCUAGUUACCGGCUGUCUCGUGAUCUGAAAACAUGAAUUUGAAAAUGGUGAGUAUAAACCCAGUGAGUGAACAAGGAAGGGAACAAGCAUACCACAAGGAAUCUUUAAUGAAAUCAUGAUGCAUUCGUUUUCAAAACAAUGCAAUUUAUUUCUAUUCUUAUUAAAAACUCCUUAUCAAGCCCUUAAAUGAUUAAUCAUUUGAAAAUCAAGUACCCGUACAUAACAAACCAUUUGAAGAAUGAAAACUUCAAUAUUACACAAGCAAGUCAAAUACGACAAUGAAUCUUAGCUGCAGCCAUACCAGCGGAAUGCCUUUCCGCUGCAGCGACGUUGGGAUUUAGUUAUUAACCAAAUGAGUGCUUCUCAACUAGCCGAGGAUUUCUCACUAAACCUCCUCAUUUUAAACUUAACUAAUUUAAUCCUUAAUGUUGGAAGUCCAUGCUCCGAUAUGGUAGCAAAGUAGUGAAAGAUAGGUCAGCAAUUGGACAAGAUAGGAUACCAAAACAGAAAGUUUUUCAUUGCAGCGAGAUUGAAUCUCGCUACAGCGGAAUUGUAACCUAGAAACAAAAUGUUUCUCGCUGCAGCAAAAUUCAAUCUCGCUGCAGCGAAAUUGCAACUCAGAAACAAAAAGUUUCUCGCUAUAGCGAGAAUGUAUUUCGUUACAGCGAGAAGCUACAGUGACAUUCUCGCUUUAGUCCUCUGGUGGUAAAAUUAUCAUUUUGCCCUUAUGCUCUAAAAAUACCAUGAAUCAUAAUUUUUCACUACUAUACAUCAUUUUAUACUCCAAUAAUCAUAAUUAUAUUUCAUGUAAUUAUUCUUGGUCAAAUGUUAUCAAAUCUUGGCUAGAAAUCUCCAUUUUAUGAUUAAAUGGUAAAAUGACCGUUUUGUCCCUAAUCGGUCAAUUUUCCUAAUGGACUCCAAAUUGGACUUUGAACUCCAAAUCACUAUUCUAAGUCAUUCUGUGGGUUUCAAAAUUUUCAAUUUUCUCUUAGAAUUUCUAUUUGAACUAGUUCAAGGCUCGAUUUAACUUAGUUGUACCACUCGGUACAAUAUCGUCUUUUAAUCGAGCAUGACAGGGUCUCACAUGCGCACUCCCUACUCGCACAUGGCUGGGUCAUCACCGGGUUAUGCGCACUCCCUACUCGCACAUAACCGGGUCAUCCUCGACUUAUGCGCACUCCCUACUCGCACAUAGCCGAGUCAAUAUAAUUACACAACAUUAUAUUCAAGCAUAUAUGUAUAUCAACAUAAUGCAGCCACAUAGAAAUCUAUAAUAACCACAUAUUAUAACAUAAAUCAUUUCUCAAGAGCUUGUUCCCAAGGCAUUCAUUUUUUUUAGAAAAAUUGUAUAAAAUCAAUCAAACACUUUGUUCAAAACAGUCAUAUUCCCAAAACAAUUUUGAUAGGCAGUCCACUCACCAAUUGAUUAUAGAGCCUUUAGAUGAUUCCAAUUCCCCUAAUUGUCCAAAUGGGAUGAUGGGGCUUCCUUAAAACCUAAGAUCACAUUAACAUAAACAAUAGAUCAAUUUACACACUAUGAACUUUAAAAGCUAUCUCUUAGCUAGUUUUCAAUUACCACAUUAAAUGGCUAUCUAUGUUCACUAUCUUAAUCACUAAAAAGUAAUGAACAUAGUCAAUAAUAAAACAGCUCAUAAAUCCCAAUUACUAGCCAUUUUCUGCAGCUAAAAAUUGAGCUUAGUUAACCACUUACCCUAGGGCUUUUUUGUAGUCAAAUUCUCUCCCAAUAGCUUCCAAAUAAAUAAUGUAAUUCUCUCUUUCUCUCUUUAGAAUGUCCAACUAGUGAGAGAAAGUAUGAAAACCAGAUUUUUGAAGGGUUUUAAAGUGAGAGGAUGAAAAAGCAUAAGGGUUUAUGGAAUAGUACACCAAAAGCAUGAAAAUUGGAGCUAGAGAGAGAAAGUUAUGGAAGCUUGAAGAAAACUCCCAUGGAAGAAUUAAAGAAACGUGAGAGAGGAGAAAGGAAGAAGAAGACAGCUGUUGGAAAUUUCAAGAAGCUGCAGGAAUUUCAAGAUAUUUAUAGGCCAAUUUUAUCCAUUCCCCUAAAAUUACCAAUUUGCCCCUCCACCAAUUUACUUAUUCUCCUCUAGUCUUUUAUGCAAUCUUUUUGCUCUUUAAACACUGGGACAAUAUCCAUGAUGGUCUAGACAUGUUCAGGUUUAUAAAAACUUAAAAUUUUAACCCGAGGUGAAAAAUGACCAUUUUGCCCCUACUAUGAAAAUUGUUGAAAUUUUGGUUUCCUUUCCAUUUUACCCCUAAUUUCACCAUCCAUUUAGACCUUAGGCCUACUUAGGCCAUAAUAUUGUUUAAAACUUACUUUGGGAGCUUAUUAGAGAAAAUGACGAAACUACCCUUGGCUCGUAUUAUUACAUCUAUGCUUGGUUACAAGCCUAUAGAGGUUGGGGUCUCACAUGUGCCCCUCUAAUAGGCUGGUCCACGGAACCCGCCCACUACAGCAAGCUAAACCCACCAAUUCCAUAAAAUCUCAAUCGCAUGACAUGGCAAUUAUAUCACAAUCCAACCUCUCAAGGCUAAAUACACAGUUCAUAUAUUUCAACACAAAUACCAAUUCAACCAUUCAUGCAAAUAUUGUCAUAAGCCAUUCGAUUCAAACCAUGAAUUUACAACACAUGAAAACAGUCUCCAAUUACUCUAUUUUCAAACCAUCAUUUCAUUUCAAGACAAUGUUAUAAAAUCAUUUCAUUAAAUCACAUUUUAAUUACAAAACACAAAGAUUUACCAUUUAACUCAUUUUCCAUAAAAUCACAAAAUCGGAGAAAAAUCACUUUAGAUAAUUAAGAUGAUAGUAACGUUAGUCACUAUUUCGGGAGUCGAAUUUUGAGUACUCCGAUUCUUGAUCCUCGGGUACUAUCUUUUUACUUUUACCAGAAUGUUCACCACCU
rnacentral:lncRNA from 1 species